CAGCCGCCGCGGGAAUACAGAGGGUGCAAGCGUUAAUCGGAAUUACUGGGCGUAAAGCGCGCGUAGGUGGUUUGUUAAGUUGGAUGUGAAAUCCCCGGGCUCAACCUGGGAACUGCAUUCAAAACUGACUGACUAGAGUAUGGUAGAGGGUGGUGGAAUUUCCUGUGUAGCGGUGAAAUGCGUAGAUAUAGGAAGGAACACCAGUGGCGAAGGCGACCACCUGGACUAAUACUGACACUGAGAGACGAAAGCUAGGGGAGCAAAUGGGAUUAGAUACCCGCGUAGUCCCUGUCUCUUAUAU
rnacentral:rRNA from 1 species